AGUGAACGCUGGCGGUAGGCCUAACACAUGCGAGUCGAACGGCAGCACAGUAAGAGCUUGCUCUUACGGGUGGCGAGUGGCGGACGGGUGAGGAAUACAUCGGAAUCUACUUUUUCGUGGGGGAUAACGUAGGGAAACUUACGCUAAUACCGCAUACGACCUACGGGUGAAAGCAGGGGAUCUUCGGACCUUGCGCGAUUGAAUGAGCCGAUGUCGGAUUAGCUAGUUGGCGGGGUAAAGGCCCACCAAGGCGACGAUCCGUAGCUGGUCUGAGAGGAUGAUCAGCCACACUGGAACUGAGACACGGUCCAGACUCCUACGGGAGGCAGCAGUGGGGAAUAUUGGACAAUGGGCGCAAGCCUGAUCCAGCCAUACCGCGUGGGUGAAGAAGGCCUUCGGGUUGUAAAGCCCUUUUGUUGGGAAAGAAAAGCAGCAGGUUAAUACCCCGCUGUUCUGACGGUACCCAAAGAAUAAGCAUCGGCUAACUUCGUG
rnacentral:rRNA from 1 species